rnacentral:lncRNA from 1 species
ACGACCCGAAAAUCGGACCGCUACCGGCGCUAGGAUCCAGAUCGGCUUAAGGCCGCCGGGACCCGUAGCAAGCCUGACAUAGAACCUGUAAACCUGUUCAAUCCCAUACAUGAUCAACAAUCAUACAUAAAAAUUAAAACUUUUCUUUCAUACAUUCCUCAUACACCAAACUCAAUCUGUGCAUGCACUAACAUAAUCAUAAACUUGACCCCUCAGUGGGAUCUCAUCAAUGCCCCAAUGGGCGAUACAUCAUAAGUUGAGUUGGUUAAACAUAAACAUCAAUAGACAUUAAGAUCAUGUAUCAACAAGGGAUUACAAUACUCAUAGGGUCAAGCACAACUAUAACCUCA